ensembl:lncRNA
AAGGGCGAAGGGAAGGUCGGGGCAGGGUGGGCGGCCGGCGAGGGCGCCGGACCAAUCACUUAAGCAUCCCUCCAUGGAGCGUGGCCUGGAAGCUGGGGAAGAUGAGGCAUCAGGGCCUUUCAGCUCAUCCGGGACAGGAGGAAGAGGCUAGACUCUGCACGAGGUAGAAAAUAGUGGAUGCUCUCCAAGACCUUGACACGGAGUCGUGUUGUCCUGAACCACCUAGAGCCCACAUCUGGCCUGGGAAACACGGAAGGAAAGACAGUCUCCUGGUUUCUGCGAAGCACGUGGUCCUUAAGGGUUUAAUCCCUCCAGGAAAUGUGGUCAGCCAUGCGAACCAGAGCCUCUCACAGAAAAACCGCUUCCUUCUCGGUGUGUGCGUGGAAGCCGAGUAACGGGACCCUCCUCUUCUUCCUGCACCUUCAGCGGAAGGAGGGCGGACGCGUUGAGAAGGUGGGAGAAGCAGACCUCCCCUCUCUGAGGAGCUUCCCCAGCAAUUGCUCGGUUGCUUCGGAGAAAGAGGGAAGGGGAGACGGCUCCGCUGCUGAAAGAAGGUCUCUGGGAAUUUCCCCGUCAGGAAAAGAAACCAGGAUGGUUUUAGCGGUGUUGCCACGUGAUGGGUAAUGUUAUGUGUCAACUUGGCUGGAUCACGGGUGCCCAGAUAGUUGGCAAAACCCAGUCUCUGGAUGUGUCUGUGAGGAUGUUUCCAAUGAGAUUAACAUUUGAGUCAGUCACUGAGUAAAGCAGGUUCCCUCCCCCACGCGGGCGCUCACCCCGCCGCCCAGGGCCCAGGAAGGGCCCCUGGUGCCCCCUGGCUCCCUCCCCACCUCUCUCUGGGUAGCCCACUGGCUCUGCCUCUUGGAGACCCUGCCCGGGAUGUACGGUCCGAUUAACCUGGUCACUCUGCGUUUUAGUUGUGAAAUACUAGAUCUGCCUGCUAAUUUGCAUGUUGUCUACACUGAGGCCUGGGUUCUCUGUUGACUUUGACACGUUUGAAUUUGUAAUGACAGGUUCUUAGAGCUCCCUUGCUUCCUUACCGGAAUUGGGGUGGUUCAUGGCCAGCUUUCAAGGGCCAACACGCUAGAAUAUCCGAGAUGAAAGCUAUAACAGUAACGCGUUUCACUUUGCAGACGAACACCCAUGGACCAGGCGUGUGCCAGGGGCACGUGCCAGCCGGCAGCAGGAGCUCUGAACGUUUAGGGGUGUAAAUUUGUGAGAUGCUGAUAUAAGCCAUGGACCUCUCCCUCCAGUCACGUGUACACACGCGACCCCUGCGUGCGGAGCGCAGUUAGGGGGCCUGUGAGCCUGGCAACUGGCCAGGCCACAGCUGAGGGCAGAGGGAGGCACCUGGUCACAGGCCCAAGGGGCAGGAAGCUGAGUCCUCCUCAGUGGCUUCCGUGGCUUCCCACCGUUGGGACCCCCUCGUAUUUUAGAGCCUACGUCCAGCUAGUGCACCAGGAACCCAGGCCAAGUCUUGGGUCCCACGGUCUUGGUCCGAGGCUUGGUCCUCUUCCUCCGAGGAUGCUGUGUAAAGCGGCACUUCCGGGCCCUGCUGCCUCGUCCCGGAUGCUGUGGUCCUUUGAACCUCCUCGGGGACAGACUCGUCUUUUGCCUAUAAAGCCUUUUUACCAGGAUAGGCCACUCAUUUAGGGCCGAUUUCUGCCCCUCUAAGGCACUCUGCAGCAGACAGGGCUGAUCAUGUCAUUUUGUCACAUGAGGUGUUCUGAGUCCCUCCUGCCCUGCGGUCCACGUCCCUGCCCCUCCCUUGGCUCCCAGCGGGCAGCCAGUCCCAGGAGCCGUGUUCCAUGCACUUGACCCGCCAGGUCCCUACGGACUCGCUCCUUUCCUCUGUCCAACUCCCCGAGGGAAGAGGAUGCAGGCUGGCCCUCCAGGCCCCACACCCCGGGCCCUGCUGCCAGAACCCGUGGGAAGGACUGUUUGGGGGGUCGCCGGGGUAUCAGGUGGAGAGAGGCUGUACAAAUACAAGCAGAGCUGAGAGAUGGGAGGAAAGACAGAGACAGACGGAGAGACAGAAACACACAGACACAGGGACAGAGGGACAGAGAGACAGAGGGAGAGACAGACAGAGAAACAGACUGAGAGAUGGAAACAGAGGGAAAGAGAGAGAAACAGAGAGAGAGACACACAGACAGACAGAAAGCAAAACCUUCGCACUCCUUAACUCUGCUCCUCGCUCAAGCUACCGGCCCUCUUGCUGUUAACCACCAGCAAUGGUUAAAGCUGCCACCUCCCGGCACCCCCACUCCCCGACUCUUCCCUCCCUCAGGCUCCCUGAAGUUGGCCUCCUCCGCAACAGCUUCUCUGGAACGUCUCUCCGAAUGUCACCAACGGUCUGUCCAAACAACUAGCAAAUAAAACAGCUUUUG